ACAGUGGACGCGAGCAUCUUUGUUGUAAGUGUUUAAGAGCGUACGGUGGAUGCCUUGGCACCAGGAGCCGAUGAAGGACGUAGGAGGCUGCGAUAAGCCUCGGGGAGCUGUCAACCGAGCUGAGAUCCGAGGAUGUCCGAAUGGGGAAACCCAGCCACAGUGAUGUGUGGUUACCCGCGCCUGAAUAUAUAGGCGUGUGGAGGGAACGUGGGGAAGUGAAACAUCUCAGUACCCACAGGAAGAAAAACAACAUGUGAUUCCGUGAGUAGUGGCGAGCGAAAGCGGAAGAGGCUAAACCAUGGGUGUGUGAUAGCCGGCGGGCGUUGCAUUCGUGGGGUUGUGGGAUCCGUCUUGUCAAUUCUGCCGGAUUGGCCGACAGUGAGAAAUCAUCGUGUUAGUCGAAGUGGUCUGGAACGGCCUGUCGUAGAGGGUGAGAGUCCCGUAGACGAAAACAUGGUGACUGUCGUGACGGACACCCCGAGUAGCAGCGGGCCCGUGAAAUCUGCUGUGAAUCUGG
rnacentral:rRNA from 1 species